rnacentral:rRNA from 1 species
GACGAACCGUCCAAACGUUGUUCGGAAUUACUGGGCUUAAAGGGUGCGUAGGCGGCCUGACAAGUUGGGUGUGAAAUACCUCGGCUCAACCGAGGAAUGGCGCUCAAAACUGUAAGGCUAGAGGAAGAUAGAGGUGAGCGGAACUUAAGGUGGAGCGGUGAAAUGCGUUGAUAUCUUAAGGAACACCCGUGGCGAAAGCGGCUCACUGGAUCUUUUCUGACGCUGAUGCACGAAAGCCAGGGGAGCAAACGGG